rnacentral:rRNA from 1 species
AGUGAACGCUGGCGGUAGGCCUAACACAUGCAAGUCGAACGGCAGCACAGUAAGAGCUUGCUCUUACGGGUGGCGAGUGGCGGACGGGUGAGGAAUACAUCGGAAUCUACUUUUUCGUGGGGGAUAACGUAGGGAAACUUACGCUAAUACCGCAUACGACCUACGGGUGAAAGCAGGGGAUCUUCGGACCUUGCGCGAUUGAAUGAGCCGAUGUCGGAUUAGCUAGUUGGCGGGGUAAAGGCCCACCAAGGCGACGAUCCGUAGCUGGUCUGAGAGGAUGAUCGGCCACACUGGAAGUGAGACACGGUCCAGACUCCUACGGGAGGCAGCAGUGGGGAAUAUUGGACAGUGGGCGCAAGCCUGAUCCAGCCAUACCGCGUGGGUGAAGAAGGCCUUCGGGUUGUGAAGCCCUUUUGUUGGGAAAGAAAAGCAGCAGGUUAAUACCCCGCUGUUCUGACGGUACCCAAAGAAUAAGCACCGGCUAACUUCGUG